rnacentral:lncRNA from 1 species
GGGUAGUGUUCUAAGUUGCUAAGACCAUGAUGAUUUGUCAAGGCAGCAAUAGAAAAGUAAUAUGUCUGGAUUAUAACCAAAAUAUUGUCUUACAUUUAAGUGAUAAUGUUAUAAUUUGUCUUUUUUAAAAGAUAUUGUACACAUUUUUGAUAAACACCACUGAAUAUACAAUAUACAUGUUGUAUAUACACAUACACAUAUCUAGGCAGACCUGUUUCUAAAGAAGUUUUCUCCCUCAAAAAUGUUUCUUCAGGACAAACUCCUUGGACAUCAGUGCAAGCAACGACAGGAAAAUGGAAGUUCAUUCGUAUUUUAAGAAAAUGAAUGUAAUUUGAAUUGAAGGCGGUAUUGUGAGUAUAUGAGGAGGAGUCCUCAGAUGAAAGCAUUCACUCAGAAAGACAGAGUCCCAUUUCUGUUCAAAGCACUUCAGAAUGAAAGUCAUUCCAGUUGAAGUUUCCCUUUGGCAAACAGCUGCUCUCACCAAAGGAACCUAUUUCAAGUCAUCAGCCGCAGCUUCAGAAUUUCUCUCUUGAGCCAAAGGAAAUUAGAGCUUUCUCUAACCUUGUUAAAAAAGGAGCACAUACAAUCAGGAUACAUAAACCUUGGUAAAGAAUUAGCCAAGUUGGCAGAGGAAUCAGAUACCCCAGACCUUGAGGUAGGUAAGCUUUCUCUAAAGACCCUGAUGGUAAAUAUUUAAGGUCUUCCAGGUCAUAUUUGAUCUGUCAU